UGGGGGAUACUGCACAAUGGGCGAAAGCCUGAUGCAGCGACGCCGCGUGGGGGAUGAAGGCCUUCGGGUUGUAAACUUCUUUUGCUCUGAACAAGGCAUGCUAAUGGGUGUGUUGAGUGUAGGGGUUGAUUAGCGCCGGCUAACUACGUGCCAGCAGCCGCGGUAAUACGUAGGGCGCGAGCGUUGUCCGGAAUUAUUGGGCGUAAAGGGCUUGUAGGUGGCUGGUUGCGUCUGUCGUGAAAGCUCAUGGCUUAACUGUGGGUUUGCGGUGGGUACGGGCUGGCUUGAGUGCAGUAGGGGAGGCUGGAAUUCCUGGUGUAGCGGUGGAAUGCGCAGAUAUCAGGAGGAAUACCGGUGGCGAAGGCGGGUCUCUGGGCUGUUACUGACACUGAGGAGCGAAAGCAUGGGGAGCGAACAGG
rnacentral:rRNA from 1 species